UGUUGACACACCGAGUAGGUAGGUAC
rnacentral:piRNA from 1 species